AAUGAACGCUGGCGGCGUGGUUAAGACAUGCAAGUCGAACGGUGUUUUAAGUGUAGCAAUACAUUUGAAACGCAGUGGCGAACGGGUGCGUAACACGUGAACAAUCUACCUCCAAGUGUGGAAUAGCUCGCCGAAAGGCGAAUUAAUACCGCAUACGGUUGGCCCUCUCCUGAGGGCCAUACUAAAGUCGGGGACCGCAAGGCCCGACGCUAGGAGAGGAGUUCGCGGCCUAUCAGCUAGUUGGUGAGGU
rnacentral:rRNA from 1 species